AUGAAGACUGGGGGGAGGGGGCAAGGGGAGGAGGGUGGAAAAAAAUGCACCGUUGAAGGGAGAGUGGAAACUGACACCGGCCCCAAAAUGGCUCAGAGUCCGCCCGCCCCCUCCCCCGCGGCCCCCUCCCCCUCGGGUCACGUGCUCCCCUCAUUCCUUAAGGGCGGCCUGGGAAUUAGUGUCGGUGUAGUCGGGGCCCCGCGGCCGCCGCCGGCCUCCCCCCGGCUGCCCCCUCCCGCUCCUCCUCCCCUCCCCCCGCCUUCCCCUCUCCACCACCUCUCGGCCUCCUCCUCCUCCUCCUCCUCCCCCUUCCUCCCUCCCUCCCUCGCACACUGCGCGGCGGCGGCGGCGGCGGCGCUGGCUGGCUGGCGCUGGCUGCUGCUGCCGGGAGACAUUUCUCCACAGCGCCACACACGCCACCCGCUCCGGGUGCGCAGUCCGCUCGGGCCCCGCACGCCGCCGCUCGCCGGCCUCCUCUUCCCCCUCCCCCGGGAGCCGUGGGCCGCCCCUUCCCGACUCGCGGGCGGCUCGGUCGCCUUGGCCCCGCGCGCCCGCAGACACUGUCUCCCGCCAAGGAAAGUGCCCGGUCCCCGCCACGCCUCCCGGGGCGCGGGUUGCGGCCCGGCCCGGCCCAGCCCGCGGGGGCCCAGUCGCCCCAAGGGCACCGCCUCUCCGGGAUCAACCGCCCGCACCCCGGAGGGGGCUGCGAAGAUGUUGGGGGGGGUCCCUGGGUCCCCCCGCCCGGCGCGCACGCGCAGGACGGCCGUUCCCCUCGGGAUCCGGGCUCCCUCGAGGGGGGCCCUAGCGAGGGCGGGGGUCGGGGAGAGGGCGGGGUCCGAGGCGCGCGGUCAAAUUUCCCGCUCUGGAUCUGGUCCAUUGGAAACUGAGGGGGUGAUGCCAAGUCGUCCGUCGCCCCCCCACCCCAGGCCUCCAGAGGCACCUCGGGGUGGGUCGGCUUUUGACAGACAUCACCCGGGAGGAGAAGGGUCUGCUGGAGUUAGCCCCCGCCCGAGGGCUGCUUGA
rnacentral:lncRNA from 1 species